AUACGAAGGGGGCUAGCGUUGUUCGGAAUUACUGGGCGUAAAGCGCACGUAGGCGGGUUGUUAAGUCAGGGGUGAAAUCCCGGAGCUCAACUCCGGAACUGCCUUUGAUACUGGCAACCUAGAGACUGGAAGAGGUUAGUGGAAUUCCCAGUGUAGAGGUGAAAUUCGUAGAUAUUGGGAAGAACACCAGUGGCGAAGGCGGCUAACUGGUCCAGUACUGACGCUGAGGUGCGAAAGCGUGGGGAGCAAACAGGA
rnacentral:rRNA from 1 species